AGUGAACGCUGGCGGUAGGCCUAACACAUGCAAGUCGAACGGCAGCACAGUAAGAGCUUGCUCUUACGGGUGGCGAGUGGCGGACGGGUGAGGAAUACAUCGGAAUCUACUUUUUCGUGGGGGAUAACGUAGGGAAACUUACGCUAAUACCGCAUACGACCUACGGGUGAAAGCAGGGGAUCUUCGGACCUUGCGCGAUUGAAUGAGCCGAUGUCGGAUUAGCUAGUUGGCGGGGUAAAGGCCCACCAAGGCGACGAUCCGUAGCUGGUCUGAGAGGAUGAUCAGCCUCACUGGAACUGAGACACGGUCCAGACUCCUACGGGAGGCAGCAGUGGGGAAUAUUGGACAAAGGGCGCAAGCCUGAUCCAGCCAUACCGCGUGGGUGAAGAAGGCCUUCGGGUUGUAAAGCCCUUUUGUUGGGAAAGAAAAGCAGCAGGUUAAUACCCCGCUGUUCUGACGGUACCCAAAGAAUAAGCACCGGCUAACUUCGUG
rnacentral:rRNA from 1 species